GACGGGGAGCACCACAACGGGUGGAGCUUGCGGUUUAAUUGGAUUCAACGCCGGAAAUCUUACCGGGACCGACAGCAAUAUGAAGGCCAGGCUGAAGACUUUGCCGGAUUAGCUGAGAGGUGGUGCAUGGCCGUCGUCAGUUCGUACUGUGAAGCAUCCUGUUAAGUCAGGCAACGAGCGAGACCCACGCCCACAGUUGCCAGCGUACUCUCUGGAGUGACGGGUACACUGUGGGACCGCCGCUGCUAAAGCGGAGGAAGGAAUGGGCAACGGUAGGUCAGUAUGCCCCGAAUAUCCCGGGCUACACGCGAGCUACAAUGGUUGGUACAAUGGGUACCUACCCCGAAAGGGGACGGGAAUCUCCUAAAACCAAUCUUAGUUCGGAUUGAGGGCUGCAACUCGCCCACAUGAAGCUGGAAUCCGUAGUAAUCGCGUUUCAAAAUAGCGCGGUGAAUAUGUCCCUGCUCCUU
rnacentral:rRNA from 1 species